UCAAAUGCAAUGACAAGGAGGAGUACAUACAGGACCGGCUCCCAGAGAGAAGAUGGUGGUGAGAAUCUUCAGCUAGGAUGUAUGGAAGUAGCCUUCGAGCAGUGGACUGAAAAGCAUGACUUCGUAAGAAGUGCUGAGUAGGAUUCAACGGAUUUCCCCGUUACAGGAAUACAAUAUAACGCAGAUAAGAUUUGUAAGUAUUGGAUGAGAGCAGGAAGAACCUGAAUUUAGGUGGUACCACGGAUAUGAUUAUUCGCCCUAAGC
rnacentral:ncRNA from 1 species